rnacentral:rRNA from 1 species
UACGUAGGAGACGAGCGUUGUCCGGAGUUACUGGGCGUAAAGGGUGCGCAGGUGGCGGCGCGCGUGGGGGGUGAAAUCGCCCGGCUUAACUGGGCGGGGGCCUUCCAGACGGCGUGGCUUGAGUAGCGGAGGGGGACGUGGAAUUCCGGGUGGAGCGGUGAAAUGCGUAGAUAUCGCUUGGAACGCCAAAGGUGAAAACAGGUUGCUGGGGUUGUGCCGACGCUGAGACACGAAAGCCAGGGGAGCAAACGGG